rnacentral:miRNA from 1 species
UUGGUGCAAAAGUAAUUGCGGUUUUUGCAAUUACGUUUAACGGCAAAAACCGCAAUUAUUUUUGCACCAGCCUAAUA